rnacentral:rRNA from 1 species
UGGGGAAUUUUGGACAAUGGGCGCAAGCCUGAUCCAGCCAUGCCGCGUGAGUGAAGAAGGCCUUCGGGUUGUAAAGCUCUUUCAGCCGGAAAGAAAUCGUGCAACCUAAUACGUUGUAUGGAUGACGGUACCGGAAGAAGAAGCACCGGCUAACUACGUGCCAGCAGCCGCGGUAAUACGUAGGGUGCGAGCGUUAAUCGGAAUUACUGGGCGUAAAGCGUGCGCAGGCGGUUUUGUAAGACAGGCGUGAAAUCCCCGGGCUUAACCUGGGAACUGCGUUUGUGACUGCAAGGCUAGAGUAUGGCAGAGGGGGGUAGAAUUCCACGUGUAGCAGUGAAAUGCGUAGAGAUGUGGAGGAAUACCGAUGGCGAAGGCAGCCCCCUGGGAUAACACUGACGCUCAUGCACGAAAGCGUGGGGAGCAAACAGGAUUAGAUACCCUGGUAGUCCACGCCCUAAACGAUGUCUACUAGUUGUCGGGUCUUAAUUGACUUGGUAACGCAGCUAACGCGUGAAGUAGACCGCCUGGGGAGUACGGUCGCAAGAUUA